GCCCCAGUAGCUCAGUGGAUAGAGCACGGCUCUCCUAAAGCCGGUGCCGCAGGUUCGAUUCCUGCCUGGGGCA
rnacentral:tRNA from 1 species